AAUGAACGCUGGCGGCGCGCCUAAUACGUGCAAGUCGAGCGAGAAGACGUAGCAAUACGUUUGUAAAGCGGCGAACGGGUGAGGAAUACAUGGGUAACCUACCCUCGAGUGGGGAAUAACUAGCCGAAAGGUUAGCUAAUACCGCGUACGCUUCUUGGACUUCGGUUCAGGGAGGAAAGCGAUACCGUGGGUAUCGCGCUCUUGGAUGGGCUCAUGUCCUAUCAGCUUGUUGGUGAGGAACGGCUCACCAAGGCUUCGACGGGUAGCUGGUCUGAGAGGACGAUCAGCCACACUGGCACUGCGACACGGGCCAGACUCCUACGGGAGGCAGCAGUAAGGAAUAUUGCGCAAUGGGCGAAAGCCUGACGCAGCGACGCCGCGUGGGGGAUGAAGGUCUUCGG
rnacentral:rRNA from 1 species